UACGGAGGGUGCAAGCGUUAUCCGGAUUUACUGGGCUUAAAGGGCGCGCAGGCGGCUAUGUAAGUCAGUGGUGAAAUCUCUGGGCUUAACCCGGAAAUUGCCAUUGAUACUAUAUAUCUUGAAUGCUGUGGAGGUAAGCGGAAUAUGUCAUGUAGCGGUGAAAUGCUUAGAGAUGACAUAGAACACCUAUUGCGAAGGCAGCUUACUACGCAGAGAUUGACGCUCAUGCACGAAAGCGUGGGGAUCAAACAGG
rnacentral:rRNA from 1 species